UGUCAUGAGGGAACAUACCGUGAACCUGUUCCAGCCUAGGCACAGAAUAUGUAGUCCAGGGAUAAGAAGGAGGGUGAACUGUGUUUUCAGAACGCUGAAAACACACCCCAGACAGAGAGUAAAGAAGGACAGGCCGAGGAAAUGCAUCAAGGAGAGCUGGAGGAGCAGUGGAAGCUCAGAGCAAAGAGCCCCAGCAGAUUGCCGUUUGUGCCUCCUGUUGUGGUGAGGGUGGGUCCCCGCCAACAGUGAAGAGCUUAUAAAAGGAAGAUCAAGAGAGUGAGAAGCCGGCAAGUUCUUCACAAAGGGGAUGUUUGGAGCUGGAAUUCACUCUAUCUUUACAGACCAAAAAGUACGGACAUUAGUUAUUGGGAAGUUAGUUCAGAGCAGCCCAAUGUUGAAAGCAUCCCUGGCAGAUGGAAGAAGCAAAUGUAAAUUCUUUCUGGGGGAGCACACUUCAGCCCCAGUCUCCUGUGAUUCCCACAGAGAAAGGCCUGAGAGAUGGAAGCAUGGAGGAGAGAGAAGGUCAACCACAGACCCAAGCAGAGUGCGUAUAAAAUGGGAAGAGCCAAUAUUGGAAGAGUGAAGGCUGAGGACUUUCCAGAGAUGGAAACAUAGUAAAACCCAAGCAGGCUAAUAAAGAAAAAAAAAAAAAAAUCCAAACUCAGACACACUGUAGUUAAACAGCUUUCAUACCAAAGUCAAAGAACAGAUCUUAAAAGCAGGCAGAAAGGAAACUUAGAUCAUAGGAACAGCAAGUGACAGCCACAAGCCUCCUCCACAGCAACAUGGAAGCCGGAAGUAGAGGGAUCCCAGACCCAAAAGGCUGAGAAUCAAAAAUGCUAUACACUGUGAAAGUGUCUUUUGAGAA